UGCUCGAGUUUUAGUCAAUCCAAUUUCGUUUAGUAGGAUAACCAGUGAUUGGUCUGAAUUAUAUAUGGUCAGAAAGAGUCGUUGUGACUGUUCAUGUGUUCUGCAGUUCUUCAUGACCAAGCCUUAUGCUUGUGAUCCUUCCAGCCUUCCAAAAUACCCUCCUUGCAAGGAAAUGGAUGCUAAGCUACGGGAUGAAGAAGCUAGAAGAUUGCGAGCUGGGGGAAGAGCUAAUGCAGAUGAAGUGAAGAAAGCUCGUGCAUGGGAUCGAGCUGAGCGGCCAAUUCCUGCUCCAGAUGCAAAAUGCUGAGCUUCAAGCUAACCUUGAUAGACGACGAUUAAUAAUACACGCGAAUGCGAAGAGCAAGAGCGAGAAAUUUCCACCUCCACACCAGGAUGGAAGUCUUGGUUAUCCUCUGGGGUCUGCACAU